UACCUGGAUGUGUGGCUGGGGCAAGCUUUUCUUUUAGAAUGAGAUAAUUUCAUCCCGCCCCCAUGGCUUUGGGAAAUCUCAGAACUGGGGUCAGAAGUCUGUUUGCCAACUUCAGCAUCUGCCCAUGUACAGCUCCUGCAGCACAGCAUUUGUCUUUCUUUGCAAACCCUCUUGCAGAGCCACGUGGCUCUGUUGACAACCUAAAUGUCUUUUUGUGGUUUGCUAAGGUUAAGUGGCCCUUUCCACGGAGGAUUGUUAUUUGGCAUUAGGAAUGCAUGCUCUGAAGGUUGAGGCCAGCUGUCCUGGGACACGGCGCCUGCUAGCUUCCACACCUCUGCUGCAGCAGAGGCAGCCUGGGCCUGGGGAUGCCUGCAGACCUCCUCAGUGGCUCCCUUGUCUUCUCACCUCAGCACCUUUGAGCUUGGGACCUGUCACACCCUUUGAGCCACCGGGGCUGCCUCUGGCAGUGGGAGAUCAGAGGCUUCCAGGAGGGGUCUCCUGCUGAGGGACCCAUGUGCUGACUGAGACCCAGCCCCAGGGCCACAGGCAACGUCAGCCAACCACUCCAGGGAAGGACUCCCCAUGGGACUUUUGACAGCCAUAUUCCCCCUUCCUUCCCCAGACCCCGGUGGCCAGGGCUUGGGAGAUGCCUCCCUGUGGCUCAUGGGCCUCUGGCUUGCAGCAGCCGCCACCCGGCCACGGGCCCCUGACACUGACUUGUGUCCAGCAUCUUUGACUUAUUUUUCCCCCAUGAAAAGCAGCAUGAAUAUUUCCUUCUAGUCUUUCUGAAGAGGGGAGGAAAAACUGUUCAUGUGUGUGUGCGUGUGCAUGUGUGUUGAGUGAGAGAACACUCAGAGGUCGUGCCCAGGAUAAGGUGAGCCCCUGCUUUGUCCUGGAUCUGCCGGCACACUGAGGACAGCCUGGACCCUCUGCCCAGGCGUCUAACUCGGGAAAGGCUGCCAAGUCUUUCUAGAAAUGCUCUGUGCUGCCUGGCUCGUCUGCAGUGGCAGAUGCCUCUUCAGAGGCAGGGUGUGUGCCUGCUGCUCCUUCCGGGGCACCUGCCUCCUCCAGUGCAGGUCUGCGGCGUGUCAGAACCCUAAUGCAUCUGUGUGUGUGUCUGUGUCGGUGUCUGUGUCGCUGUACUCGUGGGCGUCUGCACGGUACGGUCGCUGCUCUGCAGUGCAUCACUCUUUCAGAGAGGGUGUAGAUGUGGCGCCAUGCUGCGUGUCAUUGUUCAACUGUGGCUUUUUCUUAGAUAAUUGUGCUUCCUCAGCGCCGUCGGGUUGUGGCAUCCUUGGAUCUGCAAGGACCUUCUCCGUUUGCAUGUUCCUUGCGGUGGCGUGUUCCUUGCUCCCUCGGUCCAACGUGUGUUCCCCUGCCUGCAUGGACUUUUCCAGUUCUGUGUCAUGUGCUGAGUGCCACCCAGUAUUCUGUGACCACCCAUGUAGCUACCGAAAAUGUCUGGGUAAGUAAGCCAGGGUUGUUGGAGGGGGCUGAGAGAGGCCAGUGUCCCUCUCCCCCCACCCCAAACACGCCAAGAAGCGACUCUAACAUGUAGGUUGAGAACAAGCCCCAGUGAUACCGUGGUUGGGAGAACGAGAGCUUGGAAUCACCUUUCCAGACUGGGUCGAGCCCCACCCUCACUCCAGCCACCUGGGAGCCAUUCUUGGCUGGGCCCAGAGCGCCUGUGCCCAGUGCGCUCCUGCUGGCACCUGCCACCAGCCCCUGCCCCUGCGGACACGGACCCCAGACCACCGCCGCCUCGUGGCAAGGUGGGAGCUGUCCGUUCAGGACCACAAGCCAUCCUCUGCCCUAGCUAGAGAGGGCGGAGCACACCCCAGAUGCUUAUGCCUUCGACCCUUCAGCCUCCCAGCCCCUUCCCCAUCCUUCCCCUGCCCCCUGACGCACCCACGGUGCCCGGGACAGAAGCUGACUUUUAGCUCUCGCCCUAGCCCUAACUGGAGUCUGUGCCAAGGUCCUCAGCUCCCUCACUGUGUUCAUACUUGGCACUUUGCUGGCCCGAGAAAGGCAGACGACAGAGCAGCAAAUCUAAUCCACAUAGUUCCCAUUGACUCCUUAAUCUGAUUGAUGUUCCCUCUUGCACUGAAUAAUACAUGCCUCUCUCAGGUAAGCCGUUUUAUAAAAUAAGAAGAUAAAAAAGCACUGUUGAGACAGUGUUGCUUUUGCCGAGCUGGUGUCCGACAGCUCCCUGGGGGUCUGGGGUGGGAGAGCUGCCACGGAGGGCCCCAGGGCCUGGGGGCUUCGAUCCCACUUGAAUCGUAAAGCCUUCUUGCUUUUGAUAACACAGUAUUAUUUCUCUUACUGUAGAAGACAAAGUUUAUUACCAAACAAGAGUAUUUUUAUGAAAGAAUAGGACAAACCUAUAAAUUAUCUCAACCUAUAUCUCCCUUGGAAACACUUUCAGGCUCCACCAAAACGUCGGACUGAAAGCUUGUAUUUUGGAAGAAAGAGAUACAUUUUGUAUGCUUUCUUUUCCUUUUGUAGAUUCCCAGUUUAUUUUGUAAGACCGCAAAGAUCUCUUUGUCACCAGCCCUGGGACCUGAGACCAAGGGGUGUCUUGUGGCAGCGAGGGCAGGGGAGAGGCUUGGCAUGAGGUCCGAAGUCCUUGCAGCAAGCUCCAGCGAGGGCCCACCUGUUCUGAAGGUGCGCUGGGGACCAGGAGGCCCGAAAGGCUGCUCUGGGUGGGCCCUUUGUCUGGGAGCAGAUCGGUGAUGGGGGAUGGGCCGAGGGUUUGGAUGUCACUUCCAACCUGGUUAGAAGCCGUGAGGAUGGAGGACUCUGUGACCUCGGCGCCACCACCGUGUGGCUGGAAGGAGUCGUGGUUUUGUCUCUUCAAACAGCACGUAAAUUUAUUCCGCCAACGACGGGAAUCUAUCGCUUCUGUGCACAGUGGGCUGAAGUACGAUUUAUUAAAAGGGGAACAAGUCAUUGAGGAGAAAAAAAAGCCCAAUACUUAGAGUCCCAAUUUUGUCUUAUUUGCCAAAAAAAAAAGCAAACCCCUCAAGUUGAUAUUGUUACAAUGUAUAUACUGUAAAAUAUGAAAGAGAAUUGAUGUAUCUUACUUUUUCAUUAUUUGCUAACCAAAGCUGUACAUUUUUCAUAUGAUCUGCAGCCUUUUGGGUAUCAAAUGGGUCAAAACCAUGGGACCUGCCACCUCCCAUCAGCAGUUCUGGAAAUGCACUAUUUCUACUGGUAUUCUUGCUUUCUUUUUUCUUUUUUCAUUUUCUUGCUGAAAUGACAUGAAUUGUUGAGUUUAUUUUUACACAGUAAAGAGUGAAGAAAGACUGCAGGCCCCUUGGACUGUCUUUGCUCUUCCGGCGCCCUCAGCCUGUCCGGCUGCACCUCGCUCACCUUCUGGACCUCACCUGCCAGGGACCUCAUGCUUUGCGCUUCCGUUGCACUGCACCCCUGGGGAACCCUACAGAGCCCUGGGAUUAGGGAGGGAUCCCCAUUUCCCACGGGCAGUUGACACAAGCCUAGAGGAGAAGUGAUUUUCCAGGUGACUGGGUGCAGAAUAACUCCUAGCUCCCACCCCUGCCCUCCUGGGGGAAUGAAGGCUAGGCCCCAGCGGCCUGGGCUUGGGGUUCCCAAACAGCCCUGGCUGUUCUCCCUUGCCACAUCCCACCAACAGGUCCCCCGCACCCCUUCCCUGCACUGAAGGUUGAGGGUGUCCCUAUGGCCAUGUGACAAAGGCCAUGAGUAUCUGUGGGAAUCCUGGGCUAGGAAGAUCCCACUUCCCUGACCCAGUUCUACUCUGUAUACCUGGAACUUAAAAGCUGCUCCCUUCCAAGGUCCAGAUUCCCUGGUUUUAGAGAUCCCAGGACACUCAAAGUGAGGUCAGGGAACACAGCCAAAAUAACCUGGCAAGUUGAGAUGUGCACGCACGUACACAUGGCUAGCAGAAGGAACUGGCCACUCCAGCUUCCUGUUGGCAGAGCCCAGGGAUUUCCUGCCCAGUGCCUGGUGUUCCCUGGCCAGAACUGAGGAGUGGGGCUUUGGUGGGGGUGAGUGAGCUGCCUUUGCCCGAGGGUGGGGGAGAAGUCUGGCUCAUGGCAGGCAUGCAGGCUGCUGCCCUCAGGUGAAGGCUGGAUGGAGAGCAGAGCAGUGCCUGAGCCCCUGGCGUGUUUCCUCCAGGGUCAUUGUAGAGGUGGGGUUCGCCUACCGUGUGUGUGCAUCGUGGGAUUCUGGGCCACCCCCUCCUUCUGCCUCUGCUCAGGACAGUGCAUCAUUAUGUGUGUGGUCAUUUAUGCUUACAUUUCUAAUUUCUUUGUAAGAACUCACACAAAAGGUGGGUAUUUUAACUCUCAUUAGAAGUAAUGGGGGCCGGGGAUUUAGGUCAGUGGUUUUGCCGCCUGUUGCGCAAGCGCAAGGACUUGAGUUCAAUCCCCAGUACCAAAAAAAAAAAAAAAGAAGAAGAAGAAGUAAUGGUUUUCCACCCUUCUCCACCUGACCUCGGUACAUCGGUGACCAACCCCAGGGGGCCGUGGAGCUGAGGGCAGGGGUUGGGAAUGGCAGCUGCUCUGACCUAGGUGGGAGUCCGGGCAGAGGGACUGGACUCAGGGCUACAAAGCCGGAGGUGUCUAGAAGCCUACUGACGUAUGAAACUGCUCUUGGCUUUCAUACUUCUAGCAGUGGAGGGCUCGCUACCCCGUAGAGACACUUUCACCUUCCGGCAGCUCGGACUGUCAAGUUUUCUUUUACAUUUCUAUCUUUUACUUUUCUCUUAUACUGUGCUCGAUUCCUUACAUUCAGCCACAGCUUCCAACCAUCUGUUCCCACUCGGGAAGACAGUGCUGUGUCUUCCCGCGGCGUCUUCACAACCCUGCCUGCACAUAGCCCGCCUCCUCACCGCCCACCACGCCAGGCCGACCUGUCAGACCGUGGGGUGCCUCUGGCUCUCCUCAUGUGGAGGAGGCCUACCCUGGAGGAGCCUUGAGAGUCUUCCAGUCCCGCUCCCAAACUUUCAGGCAGCCAGAUAGGCUCAUCCCCAGUGUCCCCUCGCUGAUCUCCGAAGAGCAAGGCUUUGAGAGGUGAACUGUCACACAGCCACAUCCCACACUCAGCAGUCACCACAGCCUCAGUUGCUUGCAGUGCCACCCAUGGGAGCAGGACACCGCUCUCCAGACAGUCAUGGCCGGCAAGUGGCUCCGUCGCAGGAGAUGCCACAAGCUCCCUCUGAACAUGCUGGCAGUACACCUCUCCUCAUACCGGACACCAAAUAAAUGUUCCUAACAGUGAGAUCCUUAAAACCUGGAAAUCAUUUUGUCUCCCA
ensembl:lncRNA